GACGAACGCUGGCGGCGUGCUUAACACAUGCAAGUCGAACGGAGCGAAUGAAAGCUUGCUUUUAUGAGCUUAGUGGCAAACGGGUGAGUAACACGUAGACAACCUGCCGACAGGAUGGGGACAACAUUCCGAAAGGAAUGCUAAUACCGAAUGAAGCGGAGGAGAGGCAUCUCUCUUCCGUGAAAGAUGGCCUCUUUUUAUGCUAUCACCUGUUGAUGGGUCUGCGUCUGAUUAGCUGGUAGGUGAGGUAACGGCUCACCUAGGCGACGAUCAGUAGCCGGUCUGAGAGGAUGAACGGCCACAUUGGGACUGAGACACGGCCCAGACUCCUACGGGAGGCAGCAGUGGGGAAUCUUCCGCAAUGGGCGCAAGCCUGACGGAGCAACGCCGCGUGAGUGAAGAAGGUCUUCGGAUCGUAAAGCUCUGUUGACGGGGACGAACGUGCGUGAUGCGAACAGUGUCAUGCA
rnacentral:rRNA from 1 species